GGACGAGAAAAGAGCUACCAUUGAACAGACGAGUUAAAGAAAACACACUCUGCAAUCUCAUCAUCUUUCUGAUCGUGUUUUAGAAACACAAUAUUGAUCUUUUAGCUGUUGUGUAACCACAUCAAUCCCCAUAAUCAAUACUUUUGUUAUGAAAUAGGUCAAGCGCCACUCUUUGUCCCAUGAAAAACACAACACAGUUGCAUCAACACUAACCCUAACUAACUCUUAUCUACGGAUAUGAAGAAUGGAUGCGGAGCCACAAAGUCUGGAUUUGGAAACAGUCGUUCAGCGUUGUUUUCUUACAAUUUUGAGGUUUAAAAAAAAAAAAAAAAAAAAAUUACUAUUAAUGUCUGACAGCAGGUCACCCGCUUCCUCUGCAGUACAUUUCUGUUCACAAUCCCUGCUUUGGAUGGGAUUUUCUUUUCAUAAAAAAAAAAGGUCUUGUAUCACAGUAUCACAUCCAGUAUUACGCAACAGCCAAUAUUCACACAUCCACACACACACACACACACACACACACACGCCUCUAUUUGGGAAACAGACCAUUAGACGAGUCAUUUCAGCAACAUACCAGCUACCUUGCUAGAAGUGGAAAUGCUGCCACCUUCCCUUUCAUGAAACAAAGAGAAGCACUAGGAGAGGUGGGGAACGACAGAGAGGCAAACAAAGCUCUGCGAAGCAGGACUAUCAAAGAGAAAACAGCCUUUGAGGCAGACAAAGAAAAGUAAGACACAGCAGUAACUACUCUGUGUGUGCGUGUGUGAGACAGCCACAAAUAAAAAAAAAACAAAAAAAACAAACAAACAAAGGGAGCAACAAGAAGCCUGGAAGAGGGGAAGAGAUGAGAAGACUCAAAGCGACUGAGGAGUAAGAGCAGCGUGAAAGAGGGCAGAAGAGCGGCGAAUGAAAUUUGUUAUUGUCCACGUUCCUCCCCCCUCACGUGCAGUUUGUCAUCAGUGACAGUGGAAUUAUCCCUCUCAACUAUAAUCUCAACCUCCACUGCUAAUCUCAGGCUCGCCCGAGCACCACUCCUCCUCCGGAUGACGUCCCCAUAAGCAAAUUAGCACGCAGCCUAAAGCAGAGGCACUCAGCUGGCAGCACCAUCAGGGGAAACAAGAGGAUGACACGUUCCCCAACAGACUCCUAAUUGCCAACUGGUUUUGCGAUUUCUGACAGUUUAGGCUCGGCCAAGUUUGACAAAAAAAACCCCAAAACUAAACAAAGAAACGACAAGAAGUUUCCGAUCAGCAGGAUGGAUGCCAAAGAACAGGCGCUGAACCUCCUCGGCAGAAUCUGGGUCAAGCUUCAAGGUCUGCCCAACGCCAACCCCAUAGAGCUGGGAGCUUUCUUCGUCCUGCUAACUUUUAUUCUUGUAGUCCUGCUCAUCACAGUGGUGACCUGUGCAAGCUUCUGCUGCGGCUGCUGCAGCUGCUGCUGUCGCAAGAGGAAACUAAAGGGUUCCGACCUUUGAGCAAAAACAGACACAACUGCAAGCUCUCCACACAGCGAGUCCUGAUCGUGUUUUAGACACACACACACACACUCUACAGGGUGCAUGCUGUGCUGUGCAGCACUAAAGAACCUCAGCCCUUGGACAACAAAACACUUGCCAAACACAGUGAAGGAUGUCCUGCAACGCUGCCAAACACACCAGUUUAAGUCAACAGGCUUUCAGGAGAGUCUACAUUCCUUGGAGCAUCACUGCACUCGACGGGGCAACAACGAUCCCUGAGGACAGGGCAGGGGCGACUCCAGCUGUGUGUGAAUCAGGCAGAAACGUCUUGGACCAUACAAGACUGAACAUGUGUAUAAAACUAACUUUAGGCAAACAGUGAGAAAUGACUGGGAAAGCCCGAUUGGAUUUUUUUUUUCCUCAGAGCUUUCUAAACAUGAUGAUGUGUCACUCUAAAGGAAUGAGAACUGGCAGUCAGACUUCUGAGUUAGGCAAGAGCCUCAAGCAGGAAGCAGCUUUCAAAGGAUGGUAAGAGAGGAAGUCUGCCCUCUGCUGUCCGGAAACAGAAAUGCACUCUUUAUCUAAAACUGCACGUUACAUACUGUGGAACAGGUGAAGGCGUUAUGUUAUGAUGUAAUGCUUUAAGCCUGCACUUAUUGUCUGUUAUGCUUUGAUCUGUAUGUAAAUAAUAAUAAAAAUAAUAAUAAUAAUAACCUGUCACCGCAUGUGUGAAUAC